CAAGAAUCACCAGUGGUUUAAACAGUAUCAACAAUUUUUAAAUCUAGAUCUUCUUAUCACAAUCAAAUAUAGCUAAAUCAUGUGAAAAAGAAACUUGGAGUUUAGGAUUUCAUAACAGUCCUGUUUAUGGACUAGAAUCUGCCGGAACCGGAAACAGUAUAAACAAACGACCUAUAAUGCAAUCUUUGCAUCCACAACGGAUGCAGCAAAUGACACCAACUUUAAAACCAACAAAAUAAUAACUCAGAUUU
rnacentral:lncRNA from 1 species